GCCGAGCCUGGGAUUCAGAACCCCGGAAUUUCGAGAGGGUUCUCAGGCUGCGGUGAGCAGCGUGAACUGUAGAGAGACAACGGCGAGGAAGCAUCCGGAACGUUAGCAGAUCGCGUGCCCUCUGGAUUCAGCAGCUGAUGGGCCCGAGUGGCGCUCGUGUUGGUGCCUUGGCAGGUGGUGCCAGACGUAAGGGGAGGUGCGUGUGGAGGGUCCUGAGACGUGAGAAGAGCCACCCUUUUCUGCUCAGAGGCACUGAGAAAGUCCCCAGGGUCUGCCCCGGCCUCACUCUCCACAUGGGACCGGGGAGCGGGGGAUGGGUCCUGGAGCCUCCUGCUUCUCCCUCCAGGUGAUGCAUGAACCCACUCAGCCGCCAGACCCCAGUGUAGGUCCCACCUCCUCCAGGAAGCCCUCUCCUGGCAGCCAUGGCGUGUUUCCAAUGUGGCGUGGAGGCCAGCCGGCCAGGCGGCAGGACACCCAGGUUCCCUGCCCCCUUACCCCAAGUCCCUCAACCCCGCAAGGGGACAUGCUUUGCCUCUCUAGGCCUCAGUUUCCUCACCCGUAAAACUGUUCGCAGGUGGCUGAGGUCCCGUCCGAUGCGAUUAUUCCAUGAAUCUUAGAGUGGAAUGUUCUGGUCCAAGUUGAGGUCCUGGCAAAACUGCCUUUCCUAUCGCUGAUGGUGUGGCUUUGUGACUCAUUUGUCAAGAACCCGAGGUCCCGAGAAAUGUUUCCAGGAGGCGGGGCGGUCCUCGAAACAGACCCCCCAGCCGGUCAGUCCCCAGGCUGGAGGACAGCGGAUGGGAAAAACACGACACAGGUUUUCCCCGUGAUUUCGGUCGGGGGCAGGGGUGGGGCGUUGCUGGCUGUUCAGAGUCUCCUCCCACCAGUUGCAGGGGUGCUGUGGUCACUGCCAGCACUUGUCCCCAGUGCGGGGCUUGGCACCAUGGGGAUGGCAGCAGAGGAGAGCCGACUCCCGCGGUCCGCCAGCUUCGCGGGCUGCAGAAGGCUGUCCCGUGGGCACCGGGGCACCGGCGAUCGGGGCUCAGAGAAACCGGCACGGCAGACUGUGUGUGGAAUGUCCUAUAUGUUUGCGAACAUAAUUCGUCCCGGAAACAUGCUUGUGAUCCAAAGCACUCGUGUAUCAAAGCGAAUUUCCCCGUAAGAAAGAACAGAAGCUCAGAUGAUUCGUUCCACAACCCGAAAAUCUUCAUAUGCAAAGGAUUACAA